rnacentral:misc_RNA from 1 species
UAUGUGUCGCAGAGCCCUUU